rnacentral:rRNA from 1 species
UACAGAGGUCUCAAGCGUUGUUCGGAUUCAUUGGGCGUAAAGGGUGCGUAGGCGGCGCGGUAAGUCGGGUGUGAAAUCUCGGAGCUUAACUCCGAAAACUGCAUUUCGAUACUGCCGUGCUUUGAGGACUGGAGAGGAGACUGGAAUUUUACGGUGUAGCGGUGAAAUGCGUAGAUAUCGUAAGGAAGACCAGUGGCGAAGGCGGGUCUCUGGACAGUUCCUGACGCUGAGGCACGAAGGCCAGGGGAGCAAACGGGG